rnacentral:rRNA from 1 species
GCUUAACACAUGCAAGUCGGACGGAAACGAUAGAUUAGCUUGCUAUUCUAGGCGUCGAGUGGCGGACGGGUGAGUAACGCGUGGGAAUCUACCCUAUAGUUGGGGACAACAUAUGGAAACGUAUGCUAAUACCGAAUAUGCUCUACGGAGUAAAGGAGCCCUCUUCUUGAAAGGUUUCGCUAUAGGAUGAGCCCGCGUAGGAUUAGCUAGUUGGUAAGGUAAUGGCUUACCAAGGCAACGAUCCUUAGCUGGUUUGAGAGGAUGAUCAGCCACACUGGGACUGAGACACGGCCCAGACUCCUACGGGAGGCAGCAGUGGGGAAUAUUGCACAAUGAGCGAAAGCUUGAUGCAGCCAUACCGCGUGUGUGAAGAAGGCCCGAGGGUUGUAAAGCACUUUCAAUUGGGAGGAAGGUUAAGUAGUUAAUACCUGCUUAAUUUGACGUUACCUUUAGAAGAAGCACCGGCUAACUCUGUGCCAGCAGCCGCGGUAAUACAGAGGGUGCAAGCGUUAUUCGGAAUUACUGGGCGUAAAGCGCGCGUAGGCGGAUUAGUAAGUCAGUUGUGAAAGCCCUGGGCUCAACCUAGGAACUGCAUCUGAUACUGCUAGUCUAGAGUUUAGUAGAGGGAAGGGGAAUUCCAGGUGUAGCAGUGAAAUGCGUAGAUAUCUGGAGGAACAUCAGUGGCGAAGGCGCCUUCCUGGACUAAAACUGACGCUGAGGGGGGAAAGCGUGGGUAGCGAACGGGAUUAGAUACCCCGGUAGUCCACGCCGUAAACGAUGUCAACUAGUUGUUGGUCUUAUUAAAAAGAUUAGUAACAAAGCUAACGCGAUAAGUUGACCGCCUGGGGAGUACGGUCGCAAGAUUAAAACUCAAAGGAAUUGACGGGGGCCCGCACAAGCGGUGGAGCAUGUGGUUUAAUUCGAUGCAACGCGAAGAACCUUACCAUCCCUUGACAUCCUGCGAACUUUCUAGAGAUAGAUUGGUGCCUUCGGGGACGCAGUGACAGGUGCUGCA